GAACGGAUGACGUUCCAGUAUGUCACAUGGUCCCCCUUGUUUCGUGUGGCGGAACGAGCAACUUUACAAGAGAUCAGAUAGUUCUGUCUACUGUGCAUGCAUGCCAAGUAUAUCCCAUGUGGAUGGUGUAACAAGUCCAUGUGAACCUGCCUGUAGUUACAGAUAUGCACAGUUGGGGCGUUGACGCGCAGGUCUACAGUUUAGGCGCAUCGUGAAAUACGGACUACAGAGUUUCUUUCCUGAAUAAGGUUUUGGCCGAAAGCUGAUUUGUCAGUCUUUCCAUCAUGUGUGUCUGGAUCUCAAUGUUUAGUUUUCACACACUUGACCGAUUGCAUUGAAGCUGAUAAGCUUUAAUGAGUUGAGCUCAUGCCUUCAAAAGUUUGUUUGGAUAACAAUGUGUAGGUACAUGGUGCAAAACGCCCUGGAUGUCGUAAAGUUAAAAUUUAUGAAAGAACAAAAAAAUGAAACAGCGAUUAUGACAGAAGCAAUGAUUAUUCCCUCAUAUGCAGGAUUGCUUCAAUGUUUUGCUCGAAGUAAGAUGUGCAAUGAGUGCUUUGUAUUAUAUGUGAUUCUGAACAAGAGAAGACUUAAUAACAGCAUUAACUACUUUUAUUGAAGUGAAAUGGAGUGAAGCUGGGAGGAUUUCCUUCAUCUUGAGGCACUGGUGUCUUUAGAGUCAGCUGCCUGCAUCUACAAUUGAAAUGAAAUGUGAGAGAAAUCCACGGUCCUAUUUUGUAAGAUAAACAGAAGUGUAAGAGCUUUCAGAAGAUGACAUAAUUCAAAUAAAUAAAAAAAAAAGGAUGCAAGGUAAAGUGAAGGAAGACUAGCACAGUUUCGUAGACAUAGAUCAUUUACUGAUAAUGCAAUUGUACUAUCCAUUAAUUUUUUCCCUUUAUAUUACUGUUAUAAUAAAACUGGUGAGAUAAGUGCCACUACU